UUAGAGGAAGUAAAAGUCGUAACAAGGUUUCCGUAGGWGAACCUGCGGAAGGAUCAUUACAGAAUAAACAACGUCUGGGCUGUUGCUGGCUCUUAGGAGCACUGUGCACGCCUGGCAACGUUUUUCUUGACCACCUGUGCACCUUUUGUAGACUCUUGAAAACAUUCUUAUCUGGGGAAACUCGGUUUUGGAGGAUUGCAACGCGAAAGCUUGCUUUCCUUGAGGAUGUCUUCUGGUCUAUGUAUUCAUUUAUCACAUACCCCUUAACAGUAACAGAAUGUAUAACUAUUGGCCUUUGUGCCUCUAACUAAAUACAACUUUCAACAACGGAUCUCUUGGCUCUCGCAUCGAUGAAGAACGCAGCGAAAUGCGAUAAGUAAUGUGAAUUGCAGAAUUCAGUGAAUCAUCGAAUCUUUGAACGCACCUUGCGCUCCUUGGUAUUCCGAGGAGCAUGCCUGUUUGAGUGUCAUUAAAUUAAAUCAAACCUUUUAUCUUUUAUAGUUGAAGGGUUUGGAUUAUGGGGGUUGCAGGCUUUUCAAAAGUCAGCUCCUCUUAAAAGCAUUAGCAGAAGUCCUUUGGUUAAUUCUGGUGUGAUAAUUAUCUACGCCAUAGUCGACCACUCUAAGAGGCUUUGCUUCUAACUGUCCUUUAUAAAUGGGACAACCUUUGACCAAUUUGACCUCAAAUCAGGUAGGACUACCCGCUGAACUUAAGCUUAUCAUUAACCGAAGGAAA
rnacentral:rRNA from 1 species